UAGAGUUAAUUGUUCUCUUAUAUAAGCCAAGAAUAAUUUUUGUACUAAUUCAUAAAAUAGAUAAUGGAGAGAAAUAAAUUGCUAAAUAUCGGUUAACGUCGCAGAUAUUCAGUAAAAACUUCAAAUACAGAGAGAAAUAUCAACGCAAUUUAGACGCUCUUCAAAAUGAAGUUCGAUAUGUUUAAAGGAUUAUAACACGGGUUCGAAUCGACUCAUAUAUUAUAUAACGUAAUAUAAUCAAUGUACUUGAUUGAAGACGUUUCUGGUUUUAAAAGUAGGUCACUAACAUUAUUAAAUGAUGCCGUUAACAAUUGGUAACACAAUUUCCCCAAGAAGUGGCCUUAUCUUAUAGAUGAAAUGGUAGAGAAAUUUUCUACUGGUGAUUUUAACGCUAUAAACGGUGUGCUUCAAACUGCUCAUUUACUAUUCAAACAAUAUCGUUACGAAUUUAAAUCUCAAACUCUGCGGGAAGAAAUAAAAUUUGUACUAGAUCGCAUAUCCAAGCCCUUAGUUCGCUUCUCUACGCUGUUCCUAUAACCCCUUUUAUGAACAGGGACGAGAAAACUACUAUUCUAGUACGCUGGGAACACCCUUGUUUUUAACGAUAGGCUGAAAAUACGCGCUAUAGCCACACAGAGUUCAUCAGCAUAGGCAACAAGUAUACAGGAUUGGAUUCCAUCCGGGCCUGAAGAACAACUUCUUCUUCAUGGUGCUGUUCUACGUCGAACUUCGUCAUUGGAAAUAAUAAUGUUUGGAAUAAAGAUCCUAUCAUCUAAGUUAAACGCCCUGGACAUUGCUGCGAAAAACGAGCACGCAACAACAACCGGGCAUUCAACGGCCCAUAAGAGACUGUGCUAAAUAAACUACCGCAACGUGAUCGCGUAAAAACCGUUGCGCGAAAGCAGAUACAAGGAAAUGAUGAGGCGAAUUGGCGGUUACAACCUCGGUGAAGUUGUAAGUAGGGUGUGAAACGAUCAAAAGACUUUUGUAAUGAUACAGCAGAUGUUCAAGAUCGGAGAGCGAAGCGAGUAGUUAGUAGUUAAACUAAGUGAAAAUGAAUAGUGCUCCAGUGGGCUACGCUGCCGUAACCACUAAGACAACCGAAUCUGAAUGAAUAAAACCGCCACCAGUUUGUUUAUUAGAAAAACACAAAAAAUUUGAACUUUUUGCCGUAUGAAUAAAACCCCCACCAGUUUGUUUACUGGAAAAACACAAGAAAUUUGAGCAUUUAAGAUAGCAAUAGACGGGUGUGUACCACGCCUUCGUCGACUGACCGCUUACUAUAGCUACUAAAGUAAAGUUUACCGCCGUGAGAUUUGAAUGCGCGUACAUUAACCUUAUGAUUCCGGUUUUUGGAAUAUCCAAAUACUAAUUUUACAAUCCUACACUCUUUGGGAGCUGAUAAACCCGCGGUUUGUCCUUUAUUCCCUGCAAUUGUGUUGAAAGACAUUUUUGUAUAAAAUGUAUUUAAUUUAAAAUUAAUGCCAACAAAUAUCGUUUAGUGUUUCAAACUAUUACCUGUACCGAUGGUGGAGUUCAUAAUUUGACAGUCAUCAAUGAAGGCAACACCAUUCAAGACUUCACCCAAGAUAGCCCUUGCGAUUUUGCACUUGCUUGUAUUGUGUAAAACUGCGAUUGCUUGGGGUAUUGUUCUUCAGGUGUAUUACAUCAGAACCCCUUAAAGAUGGCAGGUGCGCGGUAAGCGGUGUCAAUUGAGAAAUACGAGCUUUACAUCAUCACAAAGACACAAAUGGAUGGCAGUAAAUCGGUCGGGGUGAGUUCACAUGUAGUGAUCGAUGUUCCGUCUGGAGGAGCGAGCAGCUGCGAAAAAUAAUAAUCUUGAAACUGACUGUAAUGUACUAGCUGCAGCCACUCAAGUUGUUGUAAGUAUGGAGUUGAAUCGGGCUGCUUAUGACACGUUAAAAAAUGUUUAUCUUAUGGUGAAAAUGAUGAGAAAAAUUUCUCCGGAAUCAGGUAAGAGAAACGAGCUAAUAUGCAAAAAAUGCAGCUAAUGUACACGUUUUUGCUACUAAUCAGGACAUACUCUGGUCGCUGCUACGUCUUCUAUCUCACUUUUUAUUCCAUAAUGAAAGCAUUAAGCUGGUACAAACUUUGAAAGUUGGGAUUUCAAUAUGGGAAUUAGGCCAAGGUUAAAAUUAUUUUUAUGAACUCUUUUGAUUGACUUCUAUAAGAAACGAAAAGAAAGAAGGGGCAACUUAAUAACUAUUUGCAAUGCAGCCAAUGUCAAUCUAUGAGAGGUCGCUUUUGUGUUUGUUAUUGAACACUUUCUCAAAGGGCUAAAUACUAAAUGCAAACCCUUUGAAUGAGAAACAACAAAUUUCGACUUAAAUGUGAUAAUGUACAUCGAUUAAAAUCAAAGAAGGCUUGGGAAAAAAUCUAAAUUUUAUCAUUACGCCCGUGAAAUACCUUGCAACGAACUGAGUGAUUCUGCGAAGAAAUUUCUAAUCCAUCUAAGCACGGAUUUGUACUACUUUAACAGACUCCGUGAGGAAAUCUUUCGUUUAACAACAAUUCUGUGCUCUUUUUAUAUAUAUGGCACUACGACUUCCUCAUCGACGCCCCGUCUUCCUAGAAGGCGGUGCUUACUACUGCCUUCGCCGUUGGAAGUGUUUCUCUGCGUAACGUUGAACUACAUUUCGCAAUGUUACGACUUCUUUGACUACACAGUAAAUACAGCAAGCACAGAUGGAGAUAGGACAGCAGGACAUAGAUUUGGGAGAAGUACCGAUGGAGAUAGGACAGCAGGAUAUAGAUUUUGGAGAAGUCCCGGUAGAAAUAAUAGAUUGUGGAGGAGUGCCGGUAGACGAAGAAGAACAGUUGCAGGGGAUCAAACGGAGGGACAGACGGACAGCAAACUUAGCACAGAAAGCCCCAAUAUUAUAAAUUUAGAUUAUAAUGUAAAAGAUGACGAGGGACCGUCAACAUCGGCGGCGGCAGCAGGGAGGGGAAGGAUCAACGUCUUGAACCAGAAGGCCAGGAAGUAGAAAAAGCUGAGAGAGUGGUGCCGGACAUUGAGGCCGUGAGGAAAUUGACUCGAAGAAUCGGGCUUGGAGAACCACAAAUAAACGGUAAAUUCAAAUUUUUUACUUUAGAUAAAGAAGUCCACCCGCAAAAUUAAGAUUAACGUAAGAUUCCGUGCAUGCCAAAGUUUAAAAAGCAGGCAUACACCUCCGCUCAUCGUUUCAGCAAAUGCGAUACCUCCGUAGGCCAAAAGAUGUCAAUUUAAACUGAAUUUUCUGAUUUUUUUUCUUUAUAUUUUUGGUUCAUUUUAAUUAAAUAAUUUGUAAAAAUGACAACCAUGUGAGA